AAUGAACGUUGGCGGCGUGGAUUAGGCAUGCAAGUCGCGCGAGAAAUUUCCUUCGGGAAAUGGACAGCGGCGGAAGGGAGAGGAAUAAGUAGAAAUCUGCCCUCGGGACGGGGAUAGCGGUGGGAAACUGCCGGUAAUACCCGAUAACAUCUUUGGAUCAAAUGGUGUGAUUCCGCCUGAGGAUGAGUCUACUUCCUAUUAGCUAGUUGGUGGGGUAAUGGCCUACCAAGGCAACGAUGGGUAGCGGGUGUGAGAGCACGACCCGCCUCACUGGGACUGAGACACUGCCCAGACACCUACGGGUGGCUGCAGUCGAGAAUCUUCGGCAAUGGGGGAAACCCUGACCGAGCGACGCCGCGUGCGGGAUGAAGGCCCUUGGGUUGUAAACCGCUGUCGUAAGGGAACAAAUCCAUAGGGGUACUCCCCUAUGGUUGAGUGAUCUUAGGAGGAAGGACGGGCUAAGUUCGUG
rnacentral:rRNA from 1 species